rnacentral:rRNA from 1 species
UACGUAGGGUGCAAGCGUUGUCCGGAAUUAUUGGGCGUAAAGGGCUCGUAGGCGGUUUGUCGCGUCGGGAGUGAAAAUCCAGGGCUUAACUCUGGACUGGCUUCCGAUACGGGCAGACUAGAGGUAUGCAGGGGAGAACGGAAUUCCUGGUGUAGCGGUGAAAUGCGCAGAUAUCAGGAGGAACACCGGUGGCGAAGGCGGUUCUCUGGGCAUUACCUGACGCUGAGGAGCGAAAGUGUGGGGAGCGAACAGG